UACGUAGGGUGCGAGCGUUGUCCGGAAUUAUUGGGCGUAAAGAGCUCGUAGGCGGUUUGUCACGUCUGCUGUGAAAUCCCGAGGCUCAACCUCGGGCCUGCAGUGGGUACGGGCAGACUGGAGUGCGGUAGGGGAGAAUGGAAUUCCUGGUGUAGCGGUGGAAUGCGCAGAUAUCAGGAGGAACAUCGAUGGCGAAGGCAGUUCUCUGGGCCGUAACUGACGCUGAGGAGCGAAAGCGUGGGGAGCGAACAGG
rnacentral:rRNA from 1 species